GGCCCGAUGGUCUAGUAGAAUGAUUGUUGUUUCGGGAUACUCUCCCCACGUAUACUCGUGAUAGAAUAUGACAGGUCCCGGGUUCAAAUCCCGGUCGGGCCC